rnacentral:rRNA from 1 species
CAGGACGAACGCUGGCGGCGUGCUUAACACAUGCAAGUUGAACGGUAUGACAUGGAAGCUUGCUGAAGUGUCAUAUAGUAGCGGACGGGUGAGUAAUGCAUGAGAAGCUGCCAUUGGGAGGGGGACAACAGUUGGAAACGGCUGCUAAUACCCCGUAUGCCGGAGGGUGAAAGGGAGUAAUCCGCCCGAUGAGGUGCUCAUGUCCUAUCAGCUGGUUGGUGGGGUAACGGCCUACCAAGGCGACGACGGGUAGCCGGCCUGAGAGGGUGAACGGCCACACUGGAACUGAGAUACGGUCCAGACUCCUACGGGAGGCAGCAGUGGGGAAUAUUGGGCAAAUGGGGGCAACCCUGACCCAGCGACGCCGCGUGGGGGAAGACGGCCUUCGGGUUGUAAACCUCUUUUGUACGGGAAGAAGGAAGUGACGGUACUGUACGAAUAAGUCCCGGCUAACUACGUGCCAGCAGCGGC